AGAGUUUGAUCCUGGCUCAGAUUGAACGCUGGCGGCAUGCCUAACACAUGCAAGUCGAACGAGAAAGUUCCUUCGGGAGCGAGUACAGUGGCGGACGGGUGAGUAACGCAUGGGAAUCUGCCCAGUAGUGGGGAAUAACCCGGGGAAACUCGGGCUAAUACCGCAUACGUCCUACGGGAGAAAGCGGGGGAUCUUCGGACCUCGCGCUACUGGAUGAGCCCAUGUCAGAUUAGCUUGUUGGUGGGGUAAUGGCCUACCAAGGCAACGAUCUGUAGCUGGUCUGAGAGGACGAUCAGCCACACUGGGACUGAGACACGGCCCAGACUCCUACGGGAGGCAGCAGUGGGGAAUAUUGGACAAUGGGCGAAAGCCUGAUCCAGCAAUGCCGCGUGUGUGAAGAAGGCCUGCGGGUUGUAAAGCACUUUCAUCAGGGACGAAAAACCCGGGGCGAAUACCCCCGAGCCUUGACUUAACCUGAACAAGAAGCACCGGCUAACUCCGUGCCAGCAGCCCGCGGUAAUACGGAGGGUGCGAGCGUUAAUCGGAAUUACUGGGCGUAAAGCGCACGUAGGAGGCGAGAUCAGUCAGAUGUGAAAUCCCCGGGCUCAACCUGGGAAUUGCAUUUGAUACUUGUCUCGCUAGA
rnacentral:rRNA from 1 species